rnacentral:misc_RNA from 1 species
GAUGAAGAACGCAGCGAAAUGCGAUACGUAGUGUGAAUUGCAGAAUUCAGUGAAUCAUCGAAUCUUUGAACGCACAUUGCACCUCUCGGUAUUCCGGGAGGUAUGCCUGUUCGAGCGUCAUUUGUACCCUCAAGCUCUGCUUGGUGUUGGGUGUUUGUUCCGCCUCUGUGUGUGAACUCGCCUCAAAACAUUUGGCAGCCGGCGUACUUGUUUCGGAGCGCAGCACAUUUUGCGAUCCAGAUCAACGUACAGCGGCAUCCAAGAAGCCUUAUUUAACGCUCUUGACCUCGGAUCAGGUAGGGAUACCCGCUGAACUUAAGCAUAUCAAUAAGCGGAGGA